ACACAUGCAAGUCGAACGAUGAAGCCCUUCGGGGUGGAUUAGUGGCGAACGGGUGAGUAACACGUGGGCAAUCUGCCCUUCACUCUGGGACAAGCCCUGGAAACGGGGUCUAAUACCGGAUAAUACCUGCCUGGGCAUCUGGGUGGGUUAAAAGCUCCGGCGGUGAAGGAUGAGCCCGCGGCCUAUCAGCUUGUUGGUGAGGUAGUGGCUCACCAAGGCGACGACGGGUAGCCGGCCUGAGAGGGCGACCGGCCACACUGGGACUGAGACACGGCCCAGACUCCUACGGGAGGCAGCAGUGGGGAAUAUUGCACAAUGGGCGAAAGCCUGAUGCAGCGACGCCGCGUGAGGGAUGACGGCCUUCGGGUUGUAAACCUCUUUCAGCAGGGAAGAAGCGAAAGUGACGGUACCUGCAGAAGAAGCGCCGGCUAACUACGUGCCAGCAGCCGCGGUAAUACGUAGGGCGCAAGCGUUGUCCGGAAUUAUUGGGCGUAAAGAGCUCGUAGGCGGCUUGUCACGUCGGUUGUGAAAGCCCGGGGCUUAACCCCGGGUCUGCAGUCGAUACGGGCAGGCUAGAGUGUGGUAGGGGAGAUCGGAAUUCCUGGUGUAGCGGUGAAAUGCGCAGAUAUCAGGAGGAACACCGGUGGCGAAGGCGGAUCUCUGGGCCAUUACUGACGCUGAGGAGCGAAAGCGUGGGGAGCGAACAGGAUUAGAUACCCUGGUAGUCCACGCCGUAAACGGUGGGAACUAGGUGUUGGCGACAUUCCACGUCGUCGGUGCCGCAGCUAACGCAUUAAGUUCCCCGCCUGGGGAGUACGGCCGCAAGGCUAAAACUCAAAGGAAUUGACGGGGGCCCGCACAAGCAGCGGAGCAUGUGGCUUAAUUUGACGCAACGCGAAGAACCUUACCAAGGCUUGACAUCGCCCGGAAAGCAUCAGAGAUGGUGCCCCCCUUGUGGUCGGGUGACAGGUGGUGCAUGGCUGUCGUCAGCUCGUGUCGUGAGAUGUUGGGUUAAGUCCCGCAACGAGCGCAACCCUUGUUCUGUGUUGCCAGCAUGCCCUUCGGGGUGAUGGGGACUCACAGGAGACUGCCGGGGUCAACUCGGAGGAAGGUGGGGAGGACGUCAAGUCAUCAUGCCCCUUAUGUCUUGGGCUGCACACGUGCUACAAUGGCAGGUACAAUGAGCUGCGAUGCCGCGAGGCGGAGCGAAUCUCAAAAAGCCUGUCUCAGUUCGGAUUGGGGUCUGCAACUCGACCCCAUGAAGUCGGAGUUGCUAGUAAUCGCAGAUCAGCAUUGCUGCGGUGAAUACGUUCCCGGGCCUUGUACACACCGCCCGUCACGUCACGAAAGUCGGUAACACCCGAAGCCGGUGGCCCAACCCCCUUGUGGGGAGGGAGCUGUCGAAGGUGGGACUGGCGAUUGGGACGAAGUCGUAACAU
rnacentral:rRNA from 1 species